rnacentral:piRNA from 1 species
GCCUUAAACUAAAAGGUGCCAAUCUGUU